rnacentral:rRNA from 1 species
UACGGAGGGUGCGAGCGUUGUCCGGAAUCACUGGGCGUAAAGGGCGCGUAGGCGGCUCAUGAAGGCUGUGGUGAAAAGUCCGGGGGCUCAACCUCGGAUCGGCCGUGGCGACUCGUGGGCUGGAGCACUGUAGAGGCGGGGUGGAAUUCCGGGUGUAGCGGUGGAAUGCGUAGAGAUCCGGAAGAACACCGGUGGCGAAGGCGGCCUGCUGGGCAGUAGCUGACACUGAGGGCGCGACAGCGUGGGGGGAGCAAAACAGGG